AACGAACGCUGACGGCGUGCUUAACACAUGCAAGUCGCACGAGAACGUUCACCUUCGGGUGAAUCAGUAAAGUGGCGCACGGGUGAGUAACGCGUGGAUAAUCUGCCUUCAAGACGGGAAUAACAUUGCGAAAGCGAUGCUAAUACCGGAUAAGCUCACGAUUUGAUUGGUUGUGGGAAAAGAUGGCCUAGUCUAUGCUAUCGCUUGAAGAUGAGUCCGCGUACCAUUAGCUUGUUGGUAGGGUAAUGGCCUACCAAGGCAACGAUGGUUAGCUGGCCUGAGAGGGCGGCCAGCCACACUGGGACUGAGACACGGCCCAGACUCCUACGGGAGGCAGCAGUGGGGAAUAUUGCGCAAUGGGGGAAACCCUGACGCAGCGACGCCGUGUGAGUGAUGAAGGUUUUCGGAUCGUAAAGCUCUGUCAGGUGGGAAGAAUAAGGUCUGUGAAAAUAUUGCAGUCCGAUGACGGUACCACCAGAGGAAGCACCGGCUAACUCCGUGCCAGCAGCCGCGGUAAUACGGAGGGUGCAAGCGUUGUUCGGAAUUAUUGGGCGUAAAGGGCGUGCAGGCGGGUAUGCAGGUCAGGUGUGAAAUCCCUCGGCUCAACCGAGGAAGUGCAUCUGACACCGUGUAUCUUGAGUACGAGAGAGGCAGAUGGAAUUCCCAGU
rnacentral:rRNA from 1 species